UGCAGGCAUGGCUAUGCUGGUGAAGUGGAAUGGGCCCACAACAUUCUGGGCAUCACAAAGUGUGCGUCUGGGAGGAAGUUGUUCUGCCAUCUCCUCUACUGUAUGCUUUGAUGAAGGUGAUAGUAAUCUGGUAGGAGAAGGGAACAAAUCCCUAGACGAGCGUCUGACUCUCUAAUGGGUGUCGCCGCCCAAUCAAAUUUGAUUGCAUAUUAGAAAUGC
rnacentral:lncRNA from 1 species